ACCGUGCCGCAGCACCUCCUGCCGGGCCACCAUGCGCCGCCGGGCCGCCACGCCUCCCGCUGGGCCGCCACGCCGCGCCGUGCCGAGCUGCCUGCUAGGCCGCGGAGGAGGAUAACGGAAGAGGAACCGCCGCAUCGAGCUGCCCGCUAGCUAGCCGCGUCGAGCCGUCAGGCCUCCCUCGGCGGCCUGGCCCGGCGGCGGCCGGCCGGGCCCCUACGCUGCGCCGUGCCGAGCUGCCUGCCGGGCUGCGGAGGAGGAGAAUGGAAGACGAGGAGGCGCCGCGGAGAAACCGUCGCGUCGAGCCACCUGCCAGGCAGCCGCGCCGAGCCGCCAGAUCUCCCUCGGUGGCGCAGCCUGGUGGCGCGGCCGUGGUCUUGCGCCGGCAGCGGCUGCCGCGCCUGGGCCGCGGCUCACGCUCCAUCCCUCGGGCAGCUUCUAGAAACGUAGUCUCCCUCGACAGGUCGACCCAUCACCGCUUCCCCGCCUUGCAGCCACACCUCCACGUGAUGACCUGAUGGGCUCACCGGUGGCGCUCGUCCAAGCGGCAGCUGUGGCUUGGGUCCCUAGCACUGGUGCUCCUCCCGUCAUCCACCGUGCGCUCCGAGUAUGGGCGCCGCGCGCUCCGCGCAGACAUUCCCGCUUCGCAAACUGCAGCCAGCCACCUGCAAGCAAGUACCAAAGCGAAGGGAUCCUCGAGCAAGAAGGUGACCGGCUCUGGUGCUGUGCAGCUCCCCCGCGCCCUUGUGCAAUGUCCCAUGCAGCAGAGUCCGUCGGUUACUGCCCCAGGAGCUCCAGUGGCCAUUGACAUGGCUGAUGUCCAGCAGCUGCUCGAGGAAAUGCCUCUAUGGUCAGUACAUUUCCAAAUUUCUUGGCACGCAGUCUUCUUGAUCUUGAGUAUAUUGUCUCUGGCCCCAACUUUGGCCUGCUCCUCAGUAGCCAGUUUAUUCAACAAAGCAAAAUAGUCGACGGAUUGUCCAACUAGCAUACGGGAUGGAUCUAAGGCCCACCUAUCAAUGAUACAAGAUGGACCAAACCUAAAGCUUACUUGCUUUAGCAAUAGGUAUAGAUUACUUACUUCUUCCAAUCUAUCUGCUAUCACGGGCAUGUUUAAUUUCUGGCUAACAUCUCUGCUAAUUUCUUUUCAGGUAGAAAAUAAAACAUGUACUUUAAGCUGUAUAGUAAGCUGUUCAGAGCAUCUUUAUUAAAAGUUUCUAUAUAUGGAUCAAUAUGUUUUCCAAUUCGCUUGACCACCAUGUGCUGUUGCAAUGUUUCAGAGGUACAAAUUUAUUUUCAAAUUCUGAAGCUUUUCGUUUCUGCAGAAUGGCUUCACCACUGGGAGCUCCGAUCCUGACGAUUCCGGCCACAAGAGGAUGGGGUUCAAGCAUUGAACUACAGUACAAACAAAUUAUUACUUAUUCAAAUAAUAAUUUAAACUAAAGUAUCCAAGAAAGAAUUUAUAUUGCUGCUAUCUACAGCUUCCUCUGUAGCCAGUUUAUUCAACAAAGCAAAAUAGUCAAUGCAGGUCACUAAGAUUUAAUUUGGUUCAAGUAUCACUAUAUUCAGAGUUAUGUA